rnacentral:rRNA from 1 species
AACGAACGCUGGCGGCGUGCCUAAUACAUGCAAGUCGAACGCAGUGGGGACGGGAGAGUACCACGUGGGUAACCUCCCAUCAGAGGGGAGAACACUUGGAAACAGGUGCUAAACCGAUACUGAUGGAUGGACUCGCGGUGCAUUAGCUAGUUGGUGGGGUAACGGCGCACCAAGGCCACGAUGCAUAGCUGGCCUGAGAGGACGAUCGGCCACACUGGGACUGAGACACGGCCCAGACUCCUACGGGAGGCAGCAGUAGGGAAUUUUGGGCAAUGGAGGAAACUCUGACCGAGCCACGCCGCGUGUAUGAUGAAGGCCUUCGGAUCGUAAAGCACUGUUGUCAGAGAAGCGGUAUCUGAACAGAAAGCCCCGGCUAACUACGUGCCAGCAGCCGCGGUAAUUC